UGUGUAUUAAACUCCUGCCUUAAUUUCUUUGACUUACCAUUUCCAGUUCCCUUUCCACUCAUAUAUCUUUUCUUGCCCUGAAAGGGAAUAGCUUUAUGGAUACAUGAGUGUGCAUAUAUGAAGUUUUUGGAAAGUGAUCACCAGCAUACCACUCAAAGGUACCUUGUCUUCCUCCAAACUGUGCUCUCUUGCUUUUGAGAGAGGUUAGAAACCAUUAAUCAGCCUCCUAGGGAAUGGACAGCUGUUAAAAAUUACUCAUUGUGUUCUAGAGUUACAGAUGUAAAGACAAGGGGGAGGGGAGAUUUGGAAAAAUGGAACCCCCCACUAUUUCCCAUCCCUCCAUUCAUUUCCCACCCUUGGUCCUCACUUUUCUAUCUAAAGUAUAUUCUCAGUUCAACCGUUGGAUAAUUGUUACACGCAACUUGGCCCAUUUAAGACACUCCAAAAUCAGAAGUGUGGAUUUAGUCGACAACCCCCAUUCCUUCUGUGUUGACACAACAUCCUCAACUCAGGUUAACAAAAUACAAUGGCUGUGCUCACACAAUAUAUGAUACCCAAAUGAAUAAACUGCAUAAUGGCUGAAAGUGAAACCUGGUUCCCAGAAAGUGCUAAAGCAGUGCUAGAUUUCCCACAUCCCACUAAACCAUAAGAUACACAACCCCCCUUUAGUCUAGUUGAGCCUGCUAUGUGAAUCCAAAUACUACCUCCUCUAUCAAUAUAAUUUUUACUCCAUUCUUUUGUCCAUUGAAGUCAAUGGUUCAGUUAUGUUUAGAGAGCACCAUGAAAGAGUUCUUGAGAGUAUAUUUUAGUGGAUUCAUUUUACUGCUUUGAAUGAUAUGCAUCAAGCCAUCUGAUACCUUCAAAUGCUGAACCAUGCUUUGGGUUCUUCUUGUAUGGGACUGGUGGCAUUUCCCUUGUGGCUUACAGUUACUAUAGGACUUACAAGAAAGGCUGUUUUAUGUCAUUCUGCUGCCAGAGGCAAAGAGAAAGAUAGAGCCCCUCCCUUUUUUUUCUUCCAUGACCCUAUACUAAGUUGACGGGAAAUGAAACCCUUCCUCAACAUGGCUAACUUCAUCCUUCACUUAUCUUGAAGGCAACAUGCCGACUAGCAUAGAGAUUCUGAGAUGUCACCUUCCUUGGGGCCAGAUGAAGUGAAUAAGCAUCUAAUCAAGGGAGGAAUUCUUACUGCAAAAACAGGCAGACCUUCAUGGACGUUUUCUAUCCUGCCUUUCCUCUGGGAACUCAGGGUGGUUUAUAUUCAGAUGUCCCUUCAUUCCAUCCCCACUGUCCUGUGAAGUACUUAAGCCAUGGAUCCCAAGAAGGACAAAACUGGGGUGUCUGCAGCAUCCCUGGCUUUUGUGCUUCCAGGCAUCAGAGAGCAGUUCUCCAUCUUUGCAGAUCAGACUAUGAAUUUUUUUAAAAAAGCAUCACUCUGAAAUUUCUGAGAAGAUACCAGCAAAGUGAUAUAGAAGUUAUCUUAAUGCUCUGCAUGUUCUCCUACAGCAGCUAUAUAAGACUCAGGGACUAUCCAAAUGUUUUUGGCCUUUAAUUCCCAUGAUUCCUAACCAGCAUGGCCAAUAGCCAGGACUGAUGGAAACUGUGACCUAACAAUAUUCAGAAGAGCAGAGUUUCCCUAUCCUUGUGCUGAAGAUACCUGGCCACAGAUGGAAGCAAGUGCCCACCAUCCCUUAGUUUCCACGUCUACAAUUUUGAAUGACUUGCUCUGAUUCCAUAAAUACAUAUCUUUGUUCUUAUGAUAAUGUGCUUUUCCUUUUCUAUUUUAAAAUUAGCUGGAUACAUGGAGACUUUGAUGGUAAGAAGAUGAGGAUGUGAAUGGGAUUAUAUAGUCUUCAGAAUGGUGUCCUUUGACUCACUAAGCCCAAUCAAAUUGUAAAAGGCUGUGACUGAGGCAGUGUCUGGUGUGAAUGCAGCCUAGAAGGUCCAGGAUCUUGCCCAGAUCCCAAGGAGGCUUCCUUUGAAGGAGUAUGGAAUUCUAUGGACUUGAAAUUUUUGAAGAG